rnacentral:rRNA from 1 species
AGUGAACGCUGGCGGUAGGCCUAACACAUGCAAGUCGAACGGCAGCACAGUAAGAGCUUGCUCUUACGGGUGGCGAGUGGCGGACGGGUGAGGAAUACAUCGGAAUCUACUUUUUCGUGGGGGAUAACGUAGGGAAACUUACGCUAAUACCGCAUACGACCUACGGGUGAAAGCAGGGGAUCUUCGGACCUUGCGCGAUUGAAUGAGCCGAUGUCGGAUUAGCUAGUUGGCGGGGUAAAGGCCCACCAAGGCGACGAUCCGUAGCUGGUCUGAGAGGAUGAUCAGCCAAACUGGAAAUGAGACACGGUCCAGACUCCUACGGGAGGCAGCAGUGGGGAAUAUUGGACAAUGGGCGCAAGCCUGAUCCAGCCAUACCGCGUGGGUGAAGAAGGCCUUCGGGUUGUAAAGCCCUUUUGUUGGGAAAGAAAAGCAGCAGGUUAAUACCCCGCUGUUCUGACGGUACCCAAAGAAUAAGCACCGGCUAACUUCGU